AUUGAACGCUGGCGGCAGGCCUAACACAUGCAAGUCGCGCGGAGCGGCGGACGGGUGAGUAAUGCCUAGGAAUCUGACUGGUAGUGGGGGAUAACGUCCGGAAACGGGCGCUAAUACCGCAUACUAUCAGAUGAGCCUAGGUCGGAUUAGCUAGUUGGUGGGGUAAAGGCCUACCCAGGCGACGAUCCGUAACUGGUCUGAGAGGAUGAUCAGUCACACUGGAACGGGGACACGGGCCAGAAUCCUACGGUAGGCAGCAGUGGGGGAUCUUCCGCAAUGGACGAAAGUCUGACGGAGCAACGGCGGGUGAGUGAGGACGGCCUUCGGGUUGUAAAGCUCUGUUAAUCGGGACGCAUUACCGGAAUAGAAAGCCACGGCUAACUACGUGCCAGCAGCCGCGGUAAUAC
rnacentral:rRNA from 1 species